rnacentral:rRNA from 1 species
CCUACGGGGCGCAGCAGUGAGGAAUAUUGGUCAAUGGGCUUACGCCUGAACCAGCCAAGUCGCGUGAGGGAAGACUGCCCUAUGGGUUGUAAACCUCUUUUGCCGGGGAGCAGUGGUCCGGACGCGUCCGGACCGGGAGAGUACCCGGAGAAAAAGCAUCGGCUAACUCCGUGCCAGCAGCCGCGGUAAUACGGAGGAUGCGAGCGUUAUCCGGAUUUAUUGGGUUUAAAGGGUGCGUAGGCGGGCAUUUAAGCCGGCGGUCAAAUGUCGGGACUCAACCCCGGCCUGCCGUCGGAACUGGGUGC